rnacentral:rRNA from 1 species
UACGGGGGGAGCAAGCGUUGUUCGGAUUUACUGGGCGUAAAGGGCGCGUAGGCGGUCGUGACAAGUCACUUGUGAAAUCUCCGGGCUUAACUCGGAACGGUCAAGUGAUACUGUCGGACUAGAGUACAGAAGGGGCAACUGGAAUUCUCGGUGUAGCGGUGAAAUGCGUAGAUAUCGGGAGGAACACCUGUGGCGAAGGCGGCCCCCUGGGUUGGAUACUGACGCUGAGACGCGAAAGCGUGGGGAGCAA